AGAGUUUGAUCAUGGCUCAGAACGAACGCUGGCGGCGUGCUUAACACAUGCAAGUCGCGUGCGCAGUUUCCGUAGCAAUACGGGGAUGGGCGCACGGCGCACGGGUGCGUAACACGUGGGCAAUCUGCCCUCCGAUGGGGAAUACCCCCGCGAAAGCGGGACUAAUUCCGCAUAACAUUCCUUGGAUUAACUUUCGAGGAUUCAAAGCAGCAAUGCGUCGGAGGAGGAGCCCGCGCCCGAUUAGCUAGUUGGUGAGGUAACGGCCCACCAAGGCAAUGAUCGGUAGCUGGUCUGAGAGGAUGGCCAGCCACACUGGAACUGAGACACGGUCCAGACUCCUACGGGAGGCAGCAGUGGGGAAUCUUGCACAAUGGGCGAAAGCCUGAUGCAGCGACGCCGCGUGGGGGAUGAAGCUUUUCGGAGUGUAAACCCCUUUCGACUGGGACGAAUGCCUCGCAAGAGGAGUGACGGUACCAGUAUAAGAAGCCCCGGCUAACUACGUGCCAGCAGCCGCGGUAAGACGUAGGGGGCCAGCGUUGUUCGGAAUUACUGGGUGUAAAGGGUUCGUAGGCGGUGUGGCAAGUCGGGAGUGAAAUCUCUGGGCUCAACCCAGAGACUGCUUCCGAAACUGCUGUGCUUGAGUGUGAGAGAGGCUCGUGGAAUUGCAGGUGUAGCGGUGAAAUGCGUAGAUAUCUGCAGGAACACCCGUGGCGAAAGCGGCGAGCUGGAUCACUACUGACGCUGAGGAACGAAAGCUAGGGGAGCAAACAGGAUUAGAUACCCUAGUAGUCC
rnacentral:rRNA from 1 species